UUUUGGCCAGGUGCGGUGGCUCACGUCUAUAAUACCAGCACUUUGGAAGGAAGAGGCCGGCAGAUCGCUUGAGCUCAGGAGUUCAAGACCAGCCUGACCAACAUGGCGAAACCCCACCUCUACUAAAAAUACAAAAAUUAGCCAGGUGUGGUGGUGUGUGCCUAUAAUCCCAGCUACUCGGGAGGCUGAGGAAGGAGAAUCGCUUGAACCCAGGAGGCAGAGGUUGCAGUGAGCCGAGAUGGUGCCACUGCACUCCAGCUUGGGUGACAGAGCGAGACUCUGUCUCAAAAAAUAAAAAAUAAGCUAGUGGACUUUGAGCAAAGCAGACUGUUCGCCACAAUGUGGGUGGGCCUCACCUGAUCAGUUGAAGUACUGAAUAGAACAAACCUCGCUCUACCCUGAGCAAGAAGAAAUUCUGCCAGCAGACCACUUUUGGACUCAAACUGCAAAUCCUGAAUCUCCAGCUUGCCAGCCUACUCCACCUGAUUUAGCAGAUUUUGGACCCACCAAGCCUCCAUAAUUCUAGACAGAAGACAAGGCACAGACACAGAGGAGAAGCCGUAUGAAGAUGAAGGAAAUGACUGGAGUUAUGAGCCAAGGAACGCCUGGAACCACCAGAAAUUGGAAGAGGGAAGAAAAAAAUCUCCCCUAGAGAAUCUUGUUCAGAGGGAGCGUAGCCCUGCCAUCACCUUGAUUCCAGACUCUUGUCGUACAGAACUGUUAGAGAAUAAAUUUCUGUUGUUUUAAACCACCAAAUUUGUGGGAAUUUUUACAGGAGCCCCAAAAAACUAAUACAUGUACCUCUCUGCAUAGUUGGUAGAUCAAGCCAACAAAAAGUAAUAAAAACAUACAAAAGAUUUCAAGAGCAUAGUCAAGCAGUUUUUAUCUAAUGAGCAUAUAAGCAAUCCUGCACUCAAUUAUUUGUUAAAAUAUCCCUUAUUUUUCAUUGCACAUGAAUCAUCUAUAUAAAUUUGAGUCAUAUUGUAACAAAAUAAUUUGUCAAUAUUGUAGAGCUGCAAUCAUUUUUAUCCUCUAAAAGAGCAGGUGCAUUGCCCAAGUAUGAGGAAAAUUGGCUUAGAACUUUCUGACCUUUUAGUAUCCUAGAGACAGCUUGUCUUUUUUUCUGCUUAGGAGAGAAUAUAGUUCACUAAUUAGCCACAGAUAAACAACUACAACCAGGCUCUUAAUUUUAUCUAUUUUGGAUGACUCUUACAGGAAUUAAAAAUUUCAAGGACACACAGAUUCCAUUGCCAUUUCAAAGUAAGCAUUCAUGUUACAGUCAUUGUCAUCAUUACUGGCAGGAUAAUUACUCUUAAAGUAACAGUCCCC
rnacentral:lncRNA from 1 species